UCAGCUCCUCCAGGGUCUCAGCUCCUCCAGGGUCUCAGCUCCUCCAGGGUCUCAGCUCCUCCAUCCCUCAGUUUCCUAGGACAUGCAGCAGAGGGAACCCCUCCCCUGGACAUUUGUGCCAGUCUUGUCUGACCCUGCUUUACCUGAUAACCAAAGAUAACCAGGAUAACCAAAGAAAAUAAGCUCCCUUCACCUUCUUAGAAAGCAGCAUAAGCCUAGCUGUGCAUGUGUGUGCUGCAGGCGUGUGCACUGGGUUCUGUGUACACUUGUGGGUUGUGUGAGUGUGCUCAUGAGUGUGUGCACUGCAUGCAUGCCAAUCGAAUGUGUGUGAAGAAUGCUUUAAAGGUGAGUGAGACAGAUGUGUGUUAUGAAUAUGUGUGUGUGUGUGUGUGUGUGUGUGUGUGUGUGUGUGUGUGUGUGAUGGUCAUUCCAUGCACAGGCCAACAGACUGCCCUGCUACGCAGACAUGCCUUGAGUUGUGGAAAUGAAAAGCCAGGCCUCUGCUGUGGGGCCUGGAGGCCAGGGAGGUGGAGGCUUCCAUUCAGCCCGUGGACCUCAGGAACACAAACAUCAAUAAUUCAGUGUUUCAAAACUUCAGAAAUCUCUACAGUUUUUUUUUUUUUCCUUCUUCUCCUUUUGAUUCAGGGUCUUAAUGAAAGUCCAAGCAUUCCAAGGAUAGUUUAAUAUUUAAACAGUUGUCUUCACUCUGAAGGUCAGCCCAGCGUGUAGGGAGUGAGACAGGGCCAGGGUUGGAGGAGGUAGGGGAGGGCUUGGGACUGGAGGCUGGAGGAGAGAAAGAAGGGGGAUGGGAGAUGAGGAAGGUCUACACUCUGCCCCGACUGGCCCAUGGCCAGAGCCUUUUCUGCCUCAGGCUUCUAGAUGUGUCAGGUAAGUCUUUUCAUGAACACUGAGUCCCCAGGCUCCCACAAGGGACCUGCUUGUAGUCCUUAAGCACGAGGCAUCCGUGUGUCCUGGCCACCCGUGGGGCCUCCCUGCUGGGUACAGAUACCUGACUAGUAGGGGUGGCCCCCUGAAGGAGACCUUGGAGGCAGGGCUCUCCCAGCUCGGAGAGUGCUGCCUGCCUGCUAGCUCAAGGCUGGAGCUGUGGGAUCUGUCCUUCACAGCAGAACCCUUUGAGACACAGGAGCUGUGACAGUUGCAGCAGGGCCAGAGGACAGGACUGUCCUGGGUAAGUAGGAACAAGGGAGGGGCAGCUGGGGCCCCUGCUGCACUCGAGUUAAACUGUUCACGGCCUUUUCCAGUUCGACUUUGCCUCGCCUGAAGAAGGCUUUGCCAGGAAAAGUGAGCUGGUUUUCAAGUGCAAGGGGCUUCAUUUAUGUGGCCGAGGGUGGUUUAAAAAAGCCAAAUACAGCUACGGGCUAAAGCAGAGUGCUCUCGGAGAAAGCAGUUCUGAAGGACAGCCCAGGCUGGGCGGGAGGGAGGCUGUCCACCUUCGGGGUCUAUGGGGAUGAUGGAAUGUGACAGGCAAUGGGACACAGCUGAUAGCCAGGCUGUGUGAUCAGAGUGUGUUUGACCAUUUAUGGUGCCCACACUCCAGAGUCUUCAAAUGGAAAAGCAUCCAGACCCCAAACCACGCGUGAAUGAGGAGCCUGGUGCCCUGGCCAUGAGCCUGUCAGUGUGCCCAGGCCAGGGCUGGUAGUGCUGCCUCGGGAGCUAGUGUAUAGAAAAGGCCCAGGGGCUUGCUCACGGCAGAGUUCAUAGUGGGCCAGUGUUAGCUGCUGUGCACAGCAUCUCUGGGCAUCUCUGUGGAGAUGGGUACUGCUGAGCACUGGUAUGCUCACUGGGUCCGAGGAAUGUCUGGGGAUGGACUCUUCACCCCUGACCCCAGACAGCACCUUCUCAUGAACCCGGGAGCAGCCCUGAUGUUCCUAUCUCACAUCACGCAGGGGUGGCCCUGUCCCCAGCCCUCCAGAUGACUCCCAGCUCUCAUUAGCAUCUUGCAAGGUGGGCUUUUUCCUGCCCUAGGCGGAAGUGUCCACAGGGGUCUCAGAGUGCUCUCUGGGGCCUUCCAUCCCCUCUCCAGCCUACUUCCUCAUCAGCACCUGGACUGUGCCCUGCUCUCCAUGAGACCUAGCACUCUAAGACCUCAGGACAUGCUACACAUUCAUGCAACACCACUGAAUGGUGCCUGCACCGCCGUGAGAGGUUGAGUGGGGUGGCUAGUUGCCCGCAUGGUACUGCUUCCAGGAACCCCUGCGGGAAGCUCGUAAAGGGCGGGAGCAGCCUUUUACAGGGCCUGGAGAGCUGACUUGCCAAGCGCACCUCUGAGGCUUCUUUGAGGAGCUUUAGAUUUUUGCAAAGGCAACAUAAAAACAGCCCUAACAGUGGGGACCAGCUCACACUAUAAGAGGCAGGAGUUGGGGGUCCACUCAGUACUCUUGUAUUCACCUACACCCUGCCCCCCUUGUGGGUCGUUGAGUCAACACUGCCAGGACUCCCAGUGUCCCUGAGUUCCCCUUGACCCCUCAGAGUCUCCCAGGGUGUCCUUUCUUCUGACCUCUGACCUCCGCUGCGUGUCCAACUCCUCUCCAUGAUUGUGUGGCUGUGAGUCUAAAGCUGAGGAAGAGCCUGAUCCCAAAUACCAGCAGCCAGAGAGCAUCCGGUCCCCGGCAUCUGGCACCAGCCAGCCCCACCGGAAGCAAGGAGGCAGCGCCUCUGACCUCAGGGUGCUCCUCUGGAGUGGCAAGGACAAGGCCCCGACAAGUCAUUCAGCAAGUGGCCAGCCACAUGCCAACAGAGCCUGGAGACAGAAGCCACCCACCGGCACCAACCAGAAGCUCACCCGAGUGGCUUUUUCUCAUUGCCGUGUGAGUAUUCGCAAUGCAGCUUUGACCCUGAGCCCGAGACAGCGAGGAAACUGUGGCGUGCACGCCCUGGCGUGUGAGUGACUAUUGUCUGAGAGUCCCAGGGCCACCCCUGCUUCUUCCUUAGUCAGAACAGCACGACCUGUGGGUGAGUUCGUUGGGUCAUGUCCACGUCUCUUGGUUAUCCCGGUUGUGUCUUAAAAACAGUAGACCUAUGAGGGAGAGUGCACCUGUGCGCCACGGCUUCCCCCACACUGGGGUGGGACACUGGCACAGGGGGUGGGGGUGGGGGGUGUUGUGGGCACUCUGCUCCCAGCGUUUGCAGGGUCAGCACCAAUGAUGCCAGUGGAGCCUUGGGCCACUCCGCCGAUCGAGGAAAAGACCUGCCCUCUUUCUGGAAGGACAACUGGAGAGAUGAAAGGUCUUGUUACAUCACUCACACCGACCUGAAACUUCUAGCCCUCCUGCCUCAGUCUCCCGUGUGUGCCACAGCCCAGGCCUGGAACUAGGCAUGGUUGGAGUCAGAAGGGCUGGACUGCCCCAGGUGUGAGGACGCCGCCAUAUGCCAGCAGCCAGUGCACAGCCUGGAGUCCCCGCAGG